rnacentral:tRNA from 1 species
GCCGGAUUGGUGAAAUUGGCAGACGCACCGCACUCAAAAUGCGGCGGAGCAAUCCAUAUCGGGUCGAGUCCGAUAUCCGGCA